GUGAAUCAUCAAAUUUUUGAACGCAUAUUGCACUCUCUGGUAUUCCGGAGAGUAUGCCUGUUUGAGGGUAAUUAAAAAGUAUCUUUACCAAUUUUUUUUCGUCAUGGUCAAUUAGUUCUCCGCGUUUAUACCGGUAGCUUGAAAUAAAUGGUCAAGUCUCAGUUUAGUCGAGACUCGUAUUAAUAUUAUUUCGCGUAAUCGUCUUUAUGU
rnacentral:misc_RNA from 1 species